UACGUAGGGGGCUAGCGUUGUCCGGAAUCAUUGGGCGUAAAGCGCGUGUAGGCGGUUCGGUAAGUCCGCUGUGAAAGUCGGGGGCUCAACCCUCGGAUGCCGGUAUACUGUCGGACUAGAGUACGGAAGAGGCGAGUGGAAUUCCUGGUGUAGCGGUGAAAUGCGCAGAUAUCAGGAGGAACACCGAUUGCGAAGGCAGCUCGCUGGGACGUUACUGACGCUGAGACGCGAAAGCGUGGGGAGCAAACAGG
rnacentral:rRNA from 1 species